rfam:Myotis lucifugus cont2.20152, whole genome shotgun sequence.
UGUGCACUGGUGGGGUCCCUCAGCCUGGUCUGCGGGAUGAGGCAGAAACUGGCAGUCUGACAUCCCCCGAGGGUGCAGGCCAGGCCGAGGGACCCCACCAGUGCAUG